CCAUAGCUCAGAUGGUAGAGCAACAGAUUCGUAACCUGUAGGUCGGGAGUUCGAUUCUCCCUG
rnacentral:tRNA from 1 species